rnacentral:rRNA from 1 species
UACGUAGGGGGCAAGCGUUGUCCGGAAUUAUUGGGCGUAAAGAGCGCGUAGGCGGUCCGGUAAGUCGGCUGUGAAAGUCAAGGGCUCAACCCUUGAAAGCCGGCCGAUACUGUCGGACUAGAGUCCGGAAGAGGCGAGUGGAAUUCCCGGUGUAGCGGUGAAAUGCGCAGAUAUCGGGAGGAACACCAAUGGCGAAGGCAGCUCGCUGGGACGGUACUGACGCUGAGGCGCGAAAGCUAGGGGAGCGAACGGG